rnacentral:rRNA from 1 species
AAUGAACGCUGGCGGCAGGCCUAACACAUGCAAGUCGAACGAGGCAGCAAUGCCUAGUGGCGGACGGGUGAGUAACGCGUGGGAACGUGCCCCUUGGUACGGAAUAGCCCUGGGAAACUGGGAGUAAUACCGUAUGUGGUCGAGAGACGAAAGAUUUAUCGCCAAGGGAUCGGCCCGCGUUGGAUUAGGUAGUUGGUGGGGUAAUGGCCUACCAAGCCGACGAUCCAUAGCUGGUUUGAGAGGAUGAUCAGCCACGCUGGGACUGAGACACGGCACAGACUCCUACGGGAGGCAGCAGUGGGGAAUCUUAGACAAUGGGGGAAACCCUGAUCUAGCCAUGCCGCGUGAUCGAUGAAGGCCUUAGGGUUGUAAAGAUCUUUCAGUGGGGAAGAUAAUGACGGUACCCACAGAAGAAGCCCCGGCUAACUCCGUGCCAGCCGCCGCAGUAA